rnacentral:rRNA from 1 species
AUGGCGGAUAAUUCUACCAGCUGGUCCAAUGUACAAACAGUGUGCUGCAAGGAUACUUCAGUAUUGAAGCAAUGUACGUUCGAUUACUGCCCCGAAGGAAUAGAUGAUGAGUUAUUCGAGUAUGUUACAGGACAGCUCUGGCGAGUGGGGGCAAUGAUGCUCGUCAACGCCAUCCUUGCAGGACUCAUAGUCGGAAUAGGCGCCUAUGGCCACCGUUAUCGUCACUAUGGAUUCACCCGCUAUCUCUUGCUGGGGGCAACCACCUUAUUUCUACCCAUCAUAUCUUAUGUGCUCUCCGCCACUGGAUCAACCGGCGGUCUUUUUAGAGUCCCUCUCAGUCCAAUUGUUGGCAGCUGCCUCGCAAACUUCUUUCACACAUACAUGGUCAUAGUAUCCACCUGCCUUGUUUUGAUUUCUGCUAUCAAUACAAGCCCUAUAGUUGCUACUGAUGAUAGAGAGGAUCGAAGCAUACGUCCCCCUUUCGAACUUCUCAUUCAAGGAAUUUGGAUUGUUUACCUAGUUGUCAAUACCCAUGUUAUUCCCGUGGGAGAGACCACACCUCUUAAUUAUCUCAGAAUAUCCACACCUUUUGCUCUUAUUCAUGCCAAAAUGGCAUUAAAAUGUUAUGCAUUCGUAAAGGCCCGGAAAUCCUUUGCACUGGGGCGCAAUCCUCGUCUUGUUAUUGGAUAUAUGCAGCAACUGCGAGAAGGAAGUGGUCAAAAUGGCGAGCCAAUGCCGACAAAUGAGGAGGUUGUAAAUGUGCCUCCUCCACUCAUAGUUAUGGGUGAGGACGAACAACAAGUAGAGAAGCAACCUCAUGGUUACAUGUUCAGAAACAACUUGGAGGGAAUUCACGGAGGCAGCUUGGUGACCAUUGACAGAGUUUGGAAAUUAGACAACAUGCUUCUGGUGCCAAUACCGCAACUGAAAGAUACAUGUCUGUCAUUUGCAUUGUUUAAGUUGCUAAGGUGUCGAUUUGCAAGGUACAAACUCACUGGUGUGAUCUCUAUCGAGACCCUCAAAUUUUGCAGAAGUGUGUUGCUAAAGGAUGGUGGACAUGAAAGGUCGUUUAGGAUGGUUGCAAAUGAGCUUUCUUUUCUUCAUGAUUAUUACGAUUCACCACUCCCAGUCUCAUACUCGGGUAGCCGGCUGACUAUAUUUAGCAUGGUUAUCUCACUCUUGACCAUCAGUUACUGCUUAUUUUCUGGGAUGGAUGUCAUCCCUGUGAUGUACAACAAUGCUGCUCCUACUCGGAAACCUUUAGUGGUGAAGCCUGAGGUCCUACCUCAUGGGAGUGCUUUUUGGAGUCGUUACCGGAUGCACACAGUUUGGUGCGUUUACGCUUGUCGUCAUGGAACGUUGAAUAGCCCCAAUAGAAGCCAAUAUUUUGGCAGUUUGUAUUUUGAUCUAGUACCACUACUGUUACUCCUUGUGUUUGUGGUGGUUGCUGAGGCGAGGGAUAUUGCUUCCCACAUGUGCUCUAGCUGGACCAAAGUAAUCCUCACCUGUCGAUGUGUGCACCGUGUCUCCUUGAAGCUCUCUCCUAUCGUCCCGAAAUGGGUUGGCUUUUUGUUGCGAUGCAGAUGCAACAUGUUGCAAAGGCAUUGGAACGACAAUAUGAGACAAACCUCGUUGUUGGUGCUUCACCGAAGGCAACUUCACCAACUUCUCUUACCUGGCUGCCUUCUUCACUUGCUGGGCCGAAAGAGGAGGAAUAAUGGCAUGGUACCAUCAGAAGUGAAGGCUUGCAUCAUCAACGCCCUAAGAAAUGGAGCUAGCCUAAGCAAAGGCACAACGUCCCUGCGCCAGAGCCAAGUUGGCAGAAACUUACUCUGGGCCUGCAACAACAACGAAGGUACAUCUGACACCAUACUUGUGUGGCACAUCGCCACCACCAUCCUUGAGGUGAGGCACCCACACCACCAACAAGAUGGUCGGCCUUCUUCUGUUGUCUAUGAGAAGAAGAUCGCCGCCACUCACCUGUCGUGCUAUUGCGCGUAUCUAGUGGCAUUCUGCCCCGAGCUACUUCCUAAUGAUAAUACAUGGAGCAAGCACCUCUACAAGAAAGUUAAGAAAGACGCCGAGCGAGCCCUCACCGGUUGCGGCGGCGGCGGCAUUGAGGUGUCAUCCUUGACGCCGGAAGCGGGGUACCGUCAAUUGAUCGAGUUGUUGGGUGCUACACAGAAUCGUGAGGUGCUCAAGGAUGCCGCGAAGCUAGCAAGGCAACUUGGGGGCCUGACCGGAGGCGAGGAGAUGUUGUGGGAGUUGCUGGCUGGGUUUUGGUCGGAGAUGAUCCUUUACCUGGCUCCGUCGGACAACCUCAAAGGGCACCUGCGGGCCAUCGACCGGGGCGGCGAGCUGAUCACGCUUCUCUGGGCCUUGCUCACCCACAUCGGGAUCAUCGACAGGCCCGACGAUGCUGCUGCAAGUGCUCCAGCCACUGGUGUUUAA